rnacentral:tRNA from 1 species
CAGAAAAUAGUUUAUUUAAAAUAUUAGUUUUGGAGACUAAUGAUAGGGAAGUUCCUUUUUUCUGA